rnacentral:snoRNA from 1 species
AGACCAUGAUGAGGACACUCUAAAAGAAGGUCUUUGAAACGUUCCAUGCAUCGAGAAAAUGAUUCAUUGGGUCGCUGGUGAAACUAGAGAAUUUCGUUACUAAGCUU